UUGAUCAUCUAUAUAUUGAGUGUUUUGUAUUGCUGUUGUCAGAUAUAUUUGCACCAUGAAUAAAAUUCUACAUAAUUGUCAAAGAUGUAGAAUUUAUUCUUAAUACAUUUUUUUUAUAUAUGUGGGCUUUAAGGAAUUGUUAAAAAUCCGAUAAACUGGCUGAAGACAAAAUAAUCUGUGGCAUUUAAAAAGAAAGUGGUCUUCCAGCAGUCAUAGCCAAACCUUAUGCCUCAAUGUUAUUUU